UGAAAAUGAUUUGAUCUUAAAACUCUACAGGUCAAGCCCAGGGCAAAGGGGCCCUGAUUUAUUUGGAAAUUGAAUGAAAACAGAGGAUAGGUAUUUAUUAUUUUAAAAAAUAAUUCCAGCUUUCCCAUAAUCCUAGGCACUGAGGCCAUUAUAAAGGAGAAUGAAUUUUGGUGCACAAGUAGCAGACUGUGUUUUGAAAAACUGCUCUCGUGUUAUAUUAAAAGCUUAAAAACUGUUCACCAGAAUUUCUGUCUCCCCCCAACUCACAUUAUAAUUUUCAAACUUAUGAAAGCUACGAGAAACUUCAACCCAAGUUUUGGUGGAAGUGGCAUAAAGGAAGGAAAGAGAGACUGAUACACUGUGUCAUGACAAAACAGGCAGAGUAAGAGUGCCUUUGCAGUCACCUAUCAUCCAUGGACUACGUGCUGCUGGCCCAAAACAUCAGGCUGCCCUGGAAGCUGUGCACCAGUUAUUGGAUCAUUCUUCAGCCCCAGUCACUGGCAUAACCCACGUAAACAGG